rnacentral:lncRNA from 1 species
CGGGUUGUGCAUUUGGGAGAUUAACCUAGGUUUAAGAUAUUUCCUUGGGUUUGCUUUUUUUUUUUCUUUUUUUUAAGCUUUUUUUUUUCCAGCUUUAUCCUUCAAUAUUUAUUUAAUUAGAUAUUGGGCUCCCUUAUUUUGUUUUUUUUAUUUACUUUCAAUUGGAUUUCCCAUUGAUUUCUAAAAUGACUCGAGUUUUAUUGACCUUCAAUAUCGAG